rfam:Schistosoma mattheei strain Denwood, Zambia genome assembly, scaffold: SMTD_scaffold0010088
AUCCAGCUGACUAGUCCCAAAUAGGACAAAACGGGUGUCCUGAAU